UCAGAUGUGAAAUAAUCAAAUACGUUUGAUUGAAGUGUGUUUAUAACAAGGUUUAAAAAUGCAAAGCGGGACAAAUGAAGCAAUGCCACACUACAGUGUGACAUAGCCUAAACACAGAGAUAUAAACAUCUCUAAACGUUUCAGUCAUGCACACAGCUAAGUCAGCUAGCUGGAUCUCUUAGAAUAAGCUUUUUCUUUCUUUUCUUUUGGUAACAUCAACACAGAGGGAGUUUUAAAAAGUGAAUUGACAGGUGCGCAUUGCAUUUUCCUCUCCAAGACCUAUUGUUUGUAUUUUGUUUUGUUUUGCCACCAGAUGGCGCCGCUGACUCUGUGUCUACAUUCUGAGCUGCACAAACUCCCACUCUGCAGGACUCUGAAGGCACCAUCACCUGCUCAUGAUCCAUAUUUACAUUUUACUCGAAGUUGUUGCUUCCUGUUUGCUGAGACUUAAAAAUCACUCUCAGCUGUAAGUGUUAACUGGAAAGCUAAAUCUACAGUUUAGUUUGCGCUUGUUGUUUAAUAGAUGACACAUACGGAAUGAUAUAACACUAUGUUGUUGUUUUUAUUUUAAAGAGAAUCUAUCCUGCUCAUUUCUAGCUACACGUUUCUAUUCUUGGACUCUCCUAGAGUAGCUUUGCAUGAAUCACAGUUCAAAAUAAUCCUUCUUUUUCUUGCAUUGGGCCCCAGUGUUGCCCCUCAGUUCAUCCUCUGUGUGAAACCAGCUUUGUAGCUCCUCUCCCUUUAAGCCUGCAGGGUCUGCCCCAUUAGUUUCUCUUUGUGUUUUUGGCCUGCAGCUGACUUUCUUCUGAUUGGCUGCCCCACACAAACAGAAGGUUUCACACAGAGCCAGAGCCGGUGCACUCACAUCCUAAUCCUGUUUUGUCAGGUAACUCCUGCAUCUGCAUCGAAGCCAAGUGUCCUGUAACGUCAUUGCCAUUGAUGCAGUGGCAGUGGCAGCAUCAGCCACCCAGAAAAUAACAGUCCCUUUAAGGUGUUAAAAAGUCAUGAUUUAGGAUGAAACACACCAAUUCACCAAAGCUGGCAGUGACAGAUCCAAAUCUAAAUGCUCAGUUUCAUACUGUUUUUUCUACUCUCUGGCCUGUAUGAUGUCAUAGUUAUUCCUAAUAUGGUCAUCUCAGGCACAGAAGCUCCAUCUGCUGCUCACACACUCUGCUAAGAAAGUUGGUUUAAAGGGCGAGGAGCUGAAACAGCUUGUUUCAGACAGAGGAUGGCCCGAGGAGCUGAACCAAGGCCCAGUGUAAGAUAAAGAAGGAUUAUUCUGAAUUCAUUCACCAGCUGACUCAUGCAAAGCUACUAUGAGUCCAAAAAUAAAAGCAUGGCACUGGUAAUGAGCAGAAUAGGUGCACUUUAAGGGCUUUCAGGGGGUAAACAGUUUGUUUUGGGUGGUGUCCAGCGAUUCGCUCCUCCCACAAACCAGCAGCAGGUGGAAACUGGUUCAGCAGCCUGGUUAUCAGCAGCUCUGGAGGUUGGAGAGGAACUGCAGCACAGGACAGAGGUGUUUCGUAGAGCCCGGUGUCUCUGGUGUUGCUGUUGUCGGAUAAAGAGAGGUCGGAAGACAUGAAGGUCACCAGUAGAAACUCGUGCUGCUGAAGAUUCAACAGCUCCAUCAGCGUCUCUGUGAAAUGGGAUGUAACAGGUCAAGAUGCUGGUUUGGAGCCAGUUCUGACAAACCGGAUGAGGCCAUCACCGAUGAGGCUGAGGGGUUUCUGAAGCAUGCAAGCGACUCUGAAGGUGUUGCAGGCUCAGCUGACGGCAGCUUCCAGGAUCCCCCUCCAGUCAGCAGAGCUCUGCUGGACUUUGCUCAGAGGAUGUCGGAGGACAUUGUCGCUCAGGCUCUGCAUCUCUGCUGGGAGGCAGCGAUCCGAUACGACGAGCUGCCUUUCAUUGACAGUGACGCCGAUUAUGUUAAUGAACCAAAACAUUUCUUUACUUGAAAUCUGCCUGAACAUCCACCCAGGCUGCAUGAAACAGGUGAAGUUCAGAUCUUAGUUUCUGUCCACAGCAAAAAUCUGAGGUGUGGAUUAUUUUAAGACAUUACAACAUGUGUCCACAAAACUUUGUACUGCAAAACAAAAGCACCACUUCUGAAACCUUUAAAGUUAGAGUUUAAAGAGUAUAAAGGACAAUUAGAUUAUGACCACUAAAAUCUAGUUCCAGGUAGGGCUGCCACGAUUUGUCGACUAGUCACGAUUACGUCGACUAUCAAAAUCGUCGACGACUGAUUUAAUAGUCGACGUGUCGUUUGAAGCUUUGUAAG